CACGUUCAAUCUACAUUUGUAGAUCGGAAGUAAGCUUAUGCUGAAGGAACGCGGU
rnacentral:ncRNA from 10 species